UACGAAGGGGGCGAGCGUUAUUCGGAAUCACUGGGCGUAAAGCGUGCGUAGGCUGUCCUACAAGUUGGAAGUGAAAGCCCAGGGCUCAACCUUGGAAUUGCUUUCAAAACUGUAGGACUCGAAUCUCGGAGAGGACAGCGGAAUUUCCAGUGUAGCAGUGAAAUGCGUAGAUAUUGGAAGGAACACCAGUGGCGUAAGCGGCUGUCUGGACGAGUAUUGACGCUGAGGCACGAAAGCGUGGGGAUCAAACAGGAUUAGAUACCCCUGUAGU
rnacentral:rRNA from 1 species